GCCACCAUAGCUCAGUCGGUAGAGCAGCUGUUUCGUAAACAGCAGGUCAGCGGUUCGAGCCCGCUUGGUGGCU
rnacentral:tRNA from 1 species